rnacentral:rRNA from 1 species
GAAUCUUGGACAAUGGGGGCAACCCUGAUCCAGCGACGCCGCGUGGGUGAUGAAGGCCUUCGGGUUGUAAAGCCCUUUUCCCGGGGAUGAUGAUGACGGUACCCGGGGAAUAAGCACCGGCUAACUCCGUGCCAGCAGCCGCGGUAAGACGGAGGGUGCUAGCGUUGUUCGGAAUGACUGGGCGUAAAGGGCGCGUAGGCGGCCAGGCUAGUCGGGUGUGAAAGCCCGGGGCUCAACCCCGGAACGGCAUCCGAGACUGCCUGGCUGGAGACCGGGAGAGGAGGGUGGAAUACCCAGUGUAGAGGUGAAAUUCGUAGAUAUUGGGUGGAACACCGGUGGCGAAAGCGGCUCUCUGGCCCGGAUCUGACGCUGAGGCGCGAAAGCGUGGGGAGCAAACAG